UCGGGAUUUGAACGUCGUAGCCUCCUAUGCCUUAUCAGAUUGAGUUUUGUUUCAUUCUCGAUAUUUUGAUGUAUUAGCUUUGUAUAGGUUCUUUCAUUUUCUCUCUGGUUUCUAGGGUUCUUUGCCUCUAAUCUUUGUCUGUGAUUAUGGGGUUUUGCUGUUAGAGGGUAUUUUUGUUCUUGUACAGAGAGUCGAGAUUGUGAGGUAUUUGUGGAGGCUGUAACCAUUUUAGAUUAGUGCAAUGAGCUCUCCUCUUUGGAGCUCAACGUGGAUGUAUCCCUCAUUAAUGGGUGAACCACGGUAAAAUCGUUUGUGUUCUUUGCUUUGAUCUUGCUUUACUUUUCUGUGUAUGUGUUUGGUUGUUUUUGUCGAAUGAUUUGUGUAUGAGUUCGGUCUGUUUAUUUUCAAAGGGUUGAGAAAGGUUGAGCUUCGUCUCUUCCUAACAAAAGGCCUUUCAAGUUAAGGGGGAGUCCACUCAGAAUGAUAUAUAUAAGGUCAAGAGAGAAAGAAAAAGAGGUACUUCCCGUAAUAGAGGCCGAGGAAGGGGUAGAUUUGAUUACCAAGAUGACAAAAGAAUCCCUUGAAUAAGAGAAAUGUCGUUCAAUGUUGUUGCAAAAAUUUUGGACAUAAAGAAGAGCAUCAAGAAGAAAAUCCUAAAAACUUUGAAGAAGCCACAAGUAAAAAGGAAAAGGGAAAUGCAAAGAAAGAAGAAAUCAUGACAAUUGAGGGGAAAUGAUACUUGCGGGUUAGUGGGCAUACGAAAAAGGUAAAAACACCACUGGAUUGAAAUGGGUGUAUAAGACAAAAUAUCAUGUUCAUGGAAGCAUACAAAGACACAAGGCCAAGCUUGUAGCAAAGGUUAUUUUCAGCAACGAGUAGUUGACUUUGAAGAAACAUCAUUCUCCAGUUGCUCGCUCUGAAAUGGCGAGACUUAUCAAAAUCUUAGCUGCUCAACCUAAAUGGUCUGUUGAUCAAGUUGGGUUACUUGAUAGCAAAUCUGCUUUCUUGAAUGCUGAUAGGCAGCCCAUGACAUUAAGGGCAGAAUAGGGAUAUUGAAAUGGGAGAAUUGUUGCAUGUGCAGAUAACAAAUUCUGUUAAGGGGUAGAAUGGGAAGAGCAAAGAGAGGGGGGCAUGUGACCAACAGAUUCCUAUAAAUAGAGAAGCAAAUAGAGUAGAAGGAGAGGAAUUUUCUGGUGAAUAUAGUGGGAGAGCUUGGACCUCUCGAAUGUCCACUUUCUUUUCAUUUUUGUUAAUUUCCAGCCUUGUAGUUCUUUCGAUUAUCAGUAUCCUAUCAAAUGCUAAUUAAAAGAAAAAGUGUACGCUACUCAGCUUCAAGGUUUUAUUUUCAAUGGAAAAAUAACAGAAAAUAUGCAAGUUGAAGAAGCCCCUUUUUGGUUUGAAGUAGGCUCUCCAAGCAUGAUAUGGAAAAAUUGAGUCCUUUAAAAGGAAAGAAGCGGAAAUGAGCCAUCUCUCUAUUUAAAGAAGUAAGAUAGUAAUGGCUUUCGUGUGGUUUGUAUUUAUGUUGAUGAGAUCAUAUAUAUGGGCUCAUCUCAUUCUCUUGUGGCAGACUUUAAAGCUUUCAUGAUGAAAGAGCUUGAAAUGACAGAUUUGGGUUUGACGCACUAUUUUCUUGGGCUGGAAGUCAUGCAAGUCAUAGACCGGACUUCUGUUUCACAAACAAAAUAUGCAACUGAUUUGCUUAACAUGUUUAUUAUGUUAGAUUUCAAUGUAGCAGCAACUUCCAUGAAUGCAAAUGAGAAGUUGGAGAAUAAAGAUGGUACUGGGUUGGUAAAUGCAAGAAGUUUCAGAAGGUUUUUGCUGGAUUGACAUGUAUAUAGCAGUUUCAGGUGGUACUGUUUCCAGGUUCAUGCACAGGCAAUAGAAGCAUUGUCGUCAAUGGAGACUGAACAUAUAGAGAUUACUUCACCAGCAUGCCAAAUGGUAUGGCUUAGAAGAUUGCAACCAGAACUUGAACGAGAACAGAAGGGAGCAACCAAGUUGUGUGCAGCCAUUUCCAACACAAUCAAAUUGUUGGACACCUUCAGGAGUGCGAAAAUAAGAAUAGUUGAAAAAAGAAAUACUUACUUGGAUCGAUUGCUCCUGUCGGUACAGAGACCAAGAACACCAGAGAAAAUGCAAAUGUAACAG